rnacentral:rRNA from 1 species
UGCCCAGACUCCUACGGGAGGCAGCAGUGGGGGAUAUUGCACAAUGGGGGGAACCCUGAUGCAGCGACGCCGCGUGGGUGAAGGAGCGUUUCGGCGCGUAAAGCCCUAUCGGCAGGGAAGAAGGAGGACGGUACCUGACUAAGAAGCCCCGGCUAACUACGUGCCAGCAGCCGCGGUAAUACGUAGGGGGCAAGCGUUAUCCGGAUUUACUGGGUGUAAAGGGGGCGCAGACGGCAGCGCAAGCCAGGAGUGAAAGCCCGGGGCCCAACCCCGGGACUGCUCUUGGAACUGCGCGGCUGGAGUGCAGGAGGGGCAGGCGGAAUUCCUGGUGUAGCGGUGAAAUGCGUAGAUAUCACGCAGAACUCCGAUUGCGAAGGCAGCUUACUAAACUAUAACUGACACUGAAGCACGAAAGCGUGGGGAUCAAACAGGAUUAGAUACCCUGGUAGC